rnacentral:rRNA from 1 species
CGUUUAGGGGUAAACCUGAGAAGCCCGAAAGGUCGAAGGAAGAAAUUCAUUCGCGUGUCGAGGUUGACGUUGGAUUGCUUGUAAAACAAAUUCUGUGUAUUUGGGGUUUGUGCUUGUGAUUCUUCGAAACAAUUUCGAACGCGUGCACUUUUCUUCUGGUAGAACGUCGCGAUCCGUUGGGUGUUGGUCUACGACUUACAGUGGAGAUCAAAUGUUACACAUCAUUUUUUGGUGUGGACACGUUUGAACCUGUAUUGUUCCGACCAACUUGCUUGACGGUAUAAGAACGGUUUGGGGCCGCUCACUUCAUCAAGGAGCGUUUGACUCUAGGCAAGCGCGCCAGUUGUUUCGAGGAUUGGACUUUGUGCUGAUCGCGAUCACUGGUGACUGUUGGCCUGGAUGUUCUCAAACAGACCCUUAAAAAACCGAUCAGCGGCGCUAUAGCUUUGGGUACUUUCAGGACCCGUCUUGAAACACGGACCAAGGAGUCUAGCAUGUACGCGAGUCAUUGGGACUAAUUAAACCUAAAGGCAAAAUGAAAGUAAAAAUUCUCUUUACGGGAAUUAAGGGAGGACGGCUGUUACUUUAAAUAUUAAGGGCGGCUUGCACUCCCAGGGCGUCUCAUUCUCAUUGCGAGAAGAGGCGCACCAAGAGCGUACAUGCUGGGACCCGAAAGAUGGUGAACUAUGCCUGGUCAGGAUGAAGUCAGGGGAAACCCUGAUGGAGGUCCGUAGCGAUUCUGACGUGCAAAUCGAUCGUCGGAACUGGGUAUAGGGGCGAAAGACUAAUCGAACCAUC